UUUCUUCCAGUACGUACCCUGCACAGAUAUUUUAUACUUAAUAAUUUUACAUUCCAAGUCAUUAUUGUACUCAAGUUAUUGGGCUGAUACUUCCCUAGAAUCUCCAAGACCCCAUGUUGACACAGAACCGAUCAAUGGAAUUCUCUCACUUGGGGUUCCUUGAAGUCCCCGUGCUGAGACGGCCACACGCCAGAGACACCAAUGGAGAACAUUUUCACAUAUUUUGUUUGCUUCCCAUCCACCACCUCUCCUGCCAAAAGAGACCAGCAUUUAUGUAUGGAAUAUGACCUCGAGGUGACACCUCCUGAGAUACUGAGGUGAAGGAACUAAAGAGUCAGGGUAAAACAGUGCAUCACCAACCCUCAGCACACAGGGAGGACACCUGACUGUCAGGCGGUCCUGUAGCCUCCAUUCCCUGUUUAAGGCCCUGUGAGACUCUGAGAUAAGACAAGAUUAACUUGACGCCUAAAUGCUCUGUUG